CUACGUGCCAGCAGCCGCGGUAAUACGUAGGUGGCGAGCGUUGUCCGGAUUUACUGGGCGUAAAGGGUGCGUAGGCGGAUGUUUAAGUGGGAUGUGAAAUCCCCGGGCUUAACCUGGGGGCUGCAUUCCAAACUGGAUAUCUAGAGUGCAGGAGAGGAAAGCGGAAUUCCUAGUGUAGCGGUGAAAUGCGUAGAGAUUAGGAAGAACACCAGUGGCGAAGGCGGCUUUCUGGACUGUAACUGACGCUGAGGCACGAAAGCGUGGGUAGCAAACAGGAUUAGAUACCCUGGUAGUCCACGCCGUAAACGAUGGAUACUAGGUGUAGGGGGUAUCAACUCCCCCUGUGCCGCAGUUAACACAAUAAGUAUCCCGCCUGGGGAGUACGGUCGCAAGAUUAAAACUCAAAGGAAUUGACGGGGGCCCGCACAAGCAGCGGAGCAUGUGGUUUAAUUCGAAGCAACGCGAAGAACCUUACCUGGACUUGACAUCCCUUGCAUAGCCUAGAGAUAGGUGAAGCCCUUCGGGGCAAGGAGACAGGUGGUGCAUGGUUGUCGUCAGCUCGUGUCGUGAGAUGUUAGGUUAAGUCCUGCAACGAGCGCAACCCUUGUUAUUAGUUGCUACCAUUAAGUUGAGCACUCUAAUGAGACUGCCUGGGUAACCAGGAGGAAGGUGGGGAUGACGUCAAAUCAUCAUGCCCCUUAUGUCCAGGGCUACACACGUGCUACAAUGGUAGGUACAAUAAGACGCAAGACCGUGAGGUGGAGCAAAACUUAUAAAACCUAUCUCAGUUCGGAUUGUAGGCUGCAACUCGCCUACAUGAAGCUGGAGUUGCUAGUAAUCGCGAAUCAGAAUGUCGCGGUGAAUACGUUCCCGGGCCUUGUACACACCGCCCGUCACACCAUGAGAGCUGGUAACACCCGAAGUCCGUGAGGUAACCGUAAGGAGCCAGCGGCCGAAGGUGGGAUUAGUGAUUGGGGUGAAGUCGUAACAAGGUAGCCGUAGGAGAACCUGCGGCUGGAUCACCUCCUUU
rnacentral:rRNA from 1 species